CCUACGGGUGGCUGCAGUGGGGGAUAUUGCACAAUGGGGGAAACCCUGAUCCAGCGACGCCGCGUGAGUGAAGAAGUAUUUCGGUAUGUAAAGCUCUGUCAGCAGGGAAGAAAAUGACAGUGGUUGCUCACCAAGACGCCCCUACUAACUACGUGCCAGCAGCCGCGGUACUACGUAGGGGGCAAGCGUUCUCCGGAAUUACGGGGAGUAGAGGGAGCGUAGACGGUUUAGUAAUGCUGGAGUGAAAGGCCGGGGCCCAACCCCGGGACUUCUUUGGAAACUAUUCAACUGGAGUGCAGGAGAGGCAGGCGGAAUUCCUGGUGUAGCGGUGAAAUGCGGAGAUAUUAGGAGGAACACCAGCGGCGAAGGCGGCCUACUGGACUGUAACUGACGUUGAGGCUCGAAAGCGUGGGGAGCAAACAGGAUUAGAUACCCCUGUAGUC
rnacentral:rRNA from 1 species